rnacentral:misc_RNA from 1 species
AAGUCGUAACAAGGUUUCCGUAGGUGAACCUGCGGAAGGAUCAUUAACACGUAUCCAAACGUUAAACCCCCCUGUGAACCUUCAGUCGUACUCGUACGUCCGUUAGAAAAAGCAGCAAGGGACGUCUGCAAGGAGCGUGCAUGUUGUGCGUGUAAGUGGCCUGGCAUCCCCAAGCAGUUAGUGUCUGAAAGUGUCACUAACGUUAGUGUCUGAAAGUGUCACUAACAUGUGUAAGGAUGACGCAGUCACGAUCGUUGGAGGCCCACACGGCCGACGACCGGGUCACUGGGUGCAAGCCCCCUUAUCACACCCCUGCUCUAUCUAUGGUGAUCCUGCGGGAAGUCCUGCGGUCGAACGCCGAAACCGAACAACUGUUAACAAUGGAUAUCUUGGUUCUC